UUGCUACGGCAGCACAUAUACUGAAACUGGAACGAUACAGAGAAGAUUAGCAUGGUCCAGGCGCAAGGAUGACAUGUAAAACCAUAGCCAUUCAUGAUCAUGGU